CCUACGGGUGGCUGCCGUGGGGAAUAUUGGACAAUGGGCGAAAGCCUGAUCCAGCCAUGCCGCGUGUGUGAAGAAGGCCUUCGGGUUGUAAAGCACUUUCAGUGGGGAAGAAAGCCUUGGGGCUAAUACCCUCGAGGAAGGACAUCACCCACAGAAGAAGCACCGGCUAACUCCGUGCCAGCAGCCGCGGUAAUACGGAGGGUGCGAGCGUUAAUCGGAAUUACUGGGCGUAAAGCGCGCGUAGGCGGUCUGAUAAGCCGGUUGUGAAAGCCCCGGGCUCAACCUGGGAACGGCAUCCGGAACUGUCAGGCUAGAGUGCAGGAGAGGAAGGUAGAAUUCCCGGUGUAGCGGUGAAAUGCGUAGAGAUCGGGAGGAAUACCAGUGGCGAAGGCGGCCUUCUGGACUGACACUGACGCUGAGGUGCGAAAGCGUGGGUAGCAAACAGGAUUAGAUACCCGGGUAGUC
rnacentral:rRNA from 1 species